AAUAAUGUUAUCAAGCACAACAACUAAUUAGCACAAUUAAAGCAUAUAAGCAAACAUAAAAUGUAGAUAAACUAACAUUCAUGCAAUAGCAAUUAUAAAGCACUAAAAGUAAUUCAAGCGUUAAGAACACAAAUAAAAAAAAAAUUAUGCCAAAUAAUUUAAAAGCCAGAGUAUACAUGAUAAAUAAAUAAACUGAUCUACAGCUCAUUGAGAUCUGCAGUAGGAACACUGACACGAAGUGCCCUCCCAAUUACCAACCAAACUUUUAAACUGACCCA
rnacentral:lncRNA from 1 species